UACGUAGGGUGCGAGCGUUGUCCGGAAUUACUGGGCGUAAAGAGCUCGUAGGUGGUUUGUCGCGUUGUCCGUGAAAACUCACAACUCAAUUGUGGGCGUGCGGGCGAUACGGGCAGACUGGAGUACUGCAGGGGAGACUGGAAUUCCUGGUGUAGCGGUGGAAUGCGCAGAUAUCAGGAGGAACACCGGUGGCGAAGGCGGCACUCGUGGGCCGGUACUGACGCUGAGGAGCGAAAGCGUGGGGGAGCAAACAGGAAUUAGAU
rnacentral:rRNA from 1 species